GAUGAACGCUGGCGGCGUGCCUAACACAUGCAAGUCGAGCGAAUAGACGAGGCUUGCUCUUCGCUUACGUGACGGGCGGGUGGGUAAUGCGUAGGUAUAUAACCGAUCGAUAGGGCUGACGUCAGUUCAGGAGAGCUGAUACCAUACCGGUUCAGAUAGUGAACCGGAGGGUUCUUUAGUGAUCACCCGAUUUGCUGUGACUUAGUGAUGUAUCCGGGUUGGAUUAGCUAGUUGGUAGGGUAACGGCUUACCAAGGCGACGAUGCGUAGCCGAUCUGAGAGGAUGAUCAGCCACACUGGAACUGAGACACGGUCCAGACUCCUACGGGAGGCAGCAGUAGGGAAUCUUCGGCAAUGGGCGAAAGCCUGAUCGAGCCACGCCGCGUGAGUGAUGAAGGUCUUCGGAUCGUAAAGCUCUGUUAGUAGGGAAGAACAAAUGUAUGUGUAUAUAUGGCCGUCUUGACGGUACCUAAAGAAAAAGCACCGGCUAACUACGUG
rnacentral:rRNA from 1 species